GACGAACGCUGGCGGCGUGCCUAAUACAUGCAAGUCGAACGCAGUGGGGACGGGUGAGUAACACGUGGGUAACCUCCCAUCAGAGGGGAUAACACUUGGAAACAGGUGCUAAACCGAUCCUGAUGGAUGGACCCCCUGUGCCUUAGCUCGUUGGUGAGGUAACGGCUCACAAAGGCCACGAUGCAUAGCCGACCUGAGAGGGUGAUGGGCCACACUGGGAGUGAGACACGGACCAGACUCCUACGGGAGGCAGAAGUAGGGAAUAUUCGGAAAUGGACGAAAGUCUGACCGAGCAACGCCGCGUGAGUGAAGAAGGUGUUCGGAUCGUAAAACGCUGGUGUUAGAGAAGCGGUAUCUAACCAGAAAGCCACGGCUAACUACGUGCCAGCAGCCGCGGUAAUUC
rnacentral:rRNA from 1 species